rnacentral:tRNA from 2 species
AUAUUUAAAAUAUUUUAAAAUAAUAAUUUGUUAAUACCUUCAAUAUUAUGCUUUAAAUAAGCUAUUUAAAUA